CCCUACCCGCCCGACGUACCCGCCCGGGCUAAUCACGGGCCUCCCCCUCUCGAGUUGCCAUAUGCGGUGAUCAAGGCCGAUUCCCUCUCGACCAUGCGUGAGGGAAUCCCGCCCGAGCAUGCGUGAUCUGAUCCAGGCCUCCCCCCUCGUGAGGAAACCGCGCCGCGCCGCGCCGCCGGCUUCGGGCUCCGCGUCUCCCUCUCCAUCUUCCUGGCGACGGAGGACGCAGCGAGCAUGCCGUCCGCGAGGUGCCUGCGGAGGACGGCGGCGGCACCUCCCCUCGCGGAAGCGCCACCAUCACGACGCCGGCCGCCUCCCCAUCGACGCCGAGGAGGCGCACGCGGCCCGCACCGUCGCCUCUCCCUACCUGAGACUCCGCCGCCGCUCCUUCCCCGGCCAAGUCACGGGACCCCCGCUUCUCCAGAUGCGCGCCCGCUAAUGCUGCCGACGGAAGCGACCCCGUCAUCUCCAUCGACGGCGUCGAUGCCACCAACGUAAGCCCCCUCUCACCUCGAAGUCCCCCCUCGUCAUCGUCUCUACGCGCGCGAGAGAUGCCGGCGGCAGCAGUAUUGCGUGCCCUCGUGACCUAUCGUGAAGGAGAUGGGGCGGGAUAGAGGUCGCAUGCCUCUGCAUCAUCCAUUGCUUGGAUGACCUUGCCCCACGCAUUGUCCUCUCCAGUGCAGGCCUUUCCUUGUCGAUUGGCAUGAGGUGCCGACCAUGGGUUUAGAGGUGGUUGUUUCGCUCUCUCCCAAUAUAUGGUUGGUGAUGACGAAGUUCUCCAAUGCCAAAGAAACAUUUAGUUCUCCACUGCACACCAGGUGCUUGCGUUUUUGUCAACACCAUCAUUCAUAUUUUAUUUAUGCUAAUUUAUACUAAUCACUGUUACGUCAGUAGAAUGCAAACUUCAAAUCAGCAUGUUGAAUGUGCAGAUAUCUACACCAGCUUUCCUAUGAUUGGUCUGCUGCUAUUUUGAAGACUUAUCUGUUCUAUAUCAGAUCUGUUCUAUAUCAGAUGAGGUUAAAAUGUCUGUAUUUUGUUCAUUGGAUGGUCCAAGUUUUGAUAUUACAAAUCGUGAGUGCAAUAGUGUGUAAAAAAAAAGUUCCUAACUUGUUUCGUGAAAUGAUAAAGACUGUCUCCGGACCUUGGUGACUGAAUACCUGUUGGUGUGUUCUGCAUUUUUUUUUCCAUAUGACGUAUUCUACUUUUCUACAGAAAUUCCAUGUCUCACUCUCCACCAGGUGAUGUGUAAGAUCUUCCUUACAGAAUUAUAGCUUUUUAGUUACAUAAUCAUCUCUAGCAGGUGCAAAGAUAAAUAACUUAAUUUUCUGUAUUGCAGGAAUAAGUAUAUGAUUUUUGGAUGGUAAGGAUGUUGUAAUUCUGGCAGGGUGUAUUGCUGAUAUGAGCUAGCUGGACCAAGUUAAAAAUCAAUAAAUAAACUUCCCACCCUCCCGAGAGAACCACUUUCUGCAGAAAAAACCGAAAGAAAACACUUGGCAAGAGGAGUGGGAGGUUGCAUCAAUCAGCGAGGUUAAUAAUUUAGCAGGCUGGUGAAACUUCUAGCGAAGCUUGCAAGGAACACACAAUUUUGCAGUGGAACCUGCCAGAUACUACAGCUCUGAACCUUCACUUCAGGAGACAGAGGAAAAUGGGUCUGUGAACCUUCAGUUAUGUUUUACCUUGUCUAUGUUCAGGUACCCCCAAGCAGCCCCAAUGUGCAAGAGUUGUCAAAAAAAAAAUCCAGAACAGUGACGCCAACUCAGAGGUCCCCGAAACACAGACGUCUCAGCAACCUUUCAAAUCGGACUUGACAUCCACCUCAGCUGCCGAGGUGUCGGACAAAAAUACUAGCAAAGGUUUCACCUUCACUUUUCCUAUUCCAAAAGCCCCUAGUUCUCUCUUUGAGCCACCACCUACACCAACCCUGGCUUCACCACCGAUGACCCUGUUAUUCACUACCGAAGAUAUUCCCAAGUUCAGCUUUGGCUCGUCCGGUAUGACAAACAAGCUCAUUUUCUCCUUCGACUCCACAAGCGGCUAUAAUAAGGAGAGAUGACUUAGCUCUUUACACAAGUAGCGUCCCACAAAAGAAAACUCCAUGAAAUUAGUUAAGUUGAUUUGUACCUAAUGGUCAAAGGUAUUUGGAGAGGUUCGGAAUGUUCAUUGUGCAUUUCUCUUCACGUGUGUAGGAAUAUAAUGAGAACAUGGUAUUUGUGUCAUAGGAAUUGUGCUUGGGUUUUCUUUA